UGGUAGAGAUUUGGGCUUUUUAAGACUUUGAGCGUGCCCUGUUUUGAGGUACUGGCCCAAUGUAACGAUAUCCACCCCCACACCUGUAGUUCUCCCCAUAAACUUCAUUUCACCUGUACAGAGUCUAGUGAAUCUUGAUUCCCACACCCAUACCCCAAGGUUGAUGUCAGUGCUCCCUUUGCUUCAAAUUAAAAUAACUCAGAGUCCAUUAAAAAGAACUAUUCUGAGCUGGUCAUCGGGAACAAAAUACCUAUAAUUGACAAAAUCCUUAGUGCUUGAUUGCUAAGGACAAUGCCAAUGAAAUUCUGUGGCUAUAUGAAAGCAUUGUAUGAAUUCAUAUUUUAUUUAGCGCAAGACAUGACUAAUUCGAUUUUUAUUCAAGUUCUUAUCUUUCACAGUUACAUCAAACACCUUGAAUCUAGAACAUUCUUUUCUGACAGUGGUACAUAAUUAAAAUUUGCAUCAGGUUUUAAUGAGAAGCAUUUCAACUUUAUAAAAGAUUCCUUGAAGAAUAUAUCACUCAGAACCCUGACUUCCUCCCUCAUUCUUCGUCAUCUUGUGCCAAGAGAUCUGCAGAACAUCCUGUCUCUGUUGAAUGAGAUCAUGCACAUCUACUGCCAAACUUUGGAAAGGCCAGUAGCUGUGUAGCCUCCAUCUGUCAACAGCAAGGAAAAAGAAUUAAGGAUCACAAAUCAUUCAUACAACUUUGCAAAUCUUUCUUUGCAGAUGAACUCUAGGAUCAGCACCUCAGACAGAAUACUGCUGAGUUAUGAAACAUAGGAUACGUAUGGGGAAGAAGAUUGACAGGUGCUCUGUCCCGGAGCUGUGACCUCAGCCCUUUGUUGGUCAUUUUUGUAGAUAAUGGCAAGUGAGCCUGUGACUUUCCCUGGGGAGAGAGACAUGAACAAACAUCCAUUCACCUUGGACAGAGAAUGUAACAGACCAAAGAGAAGAUCCCAUCCAAGCCUUGCCCAGUGAACCGGUGAGCCUGUGGGGGCUGGUUCCAGCAACACAAGACUGCCGCAGCUCUACCCAGGGGAAGCCAUCCCAUCUUGGUGUUGGUUCACCAAAGCUGAUCUCCAGAGCUUUCUGCCCAACUUGCAAGCAGCUGGGUUGAAGUGUCUCUCAGAAGCUGUUUCCUUCUUGCACAAUCUUGAGUGUUGGGGUCCUUGAAUCCUGUAAUUUUUUUUAAUCUUCUGCCUCCCUCCAAGAGAGUGUUUCUGUUCAGAAGAGCUGCACCAAAGGCACAGAAACACUGAAAGCACGACCUAGGUCAGCCCAGUCAGCAAACCUAAAGGGCAGAGUGCAGGAUGUAGACCCAGGCAGAUUUCCUAAGACUCUGGACACCACUCUGCUUAGUGCCGUAAGUAAACCCACAUUGGAAAACAUAGGUGUCAUCAAACACAUGCAUGGAACUUUUUCUGAAUCAGGUUUCCAGCACUGUCAACUAACUGUUUAGAGAAGUGCACAGCUCUAGAUGGAGAAUUAGCAAACUCUGCCAUCUAAAGUAGGUUUUUAAAUUGUCUUGUUGAAAAUAGUGAUGCUUUAUUGGAACCAAAGAUUCUGUCCCUUUAGAUGCUGGAAAGAUGGCUCAGCAGUUAAAGGCAUGCGGAUGCAAUUGUGAAGUGGAAGUUUGGGUGCUGGCACCCAUGUGACAGCCAGAUGUGGAUGUCCCAUCUGCACAUGCCUAGAACUCUAGCUCCAAGGCUAGAUUGCUAGGACUAGCUGUCUUCUAGCCUAUCUGAGAAAGCUUGAGCCCAGGAUUUGGGAGAGUCCCUGUCACAAAGGAACAUGUAGAGAGUAAGGACACCCAAAUCUCUCUAGUGUGCACACACACUCACACAGAUACAUACAUAAAAAUCAAAUAAAUAAACAAACCUUUAAAAUACAUUCUGUGCCUGGAGAAAGACUCAGUUGGUUUUUGGUUUGGGUUUUGGUUUGUUGGAGCCUGGGUUUCAUGAGUCCAAUUUCCUAUGCAGGCAGAGGUUGACUUUGAACUCCUAGUCCUCCUACCUCUACCUCCCAAGAGCUAGGAUCAUAGGAGAGUACCAUCAUACCUGGAAGAUUCACUUUUAUCCAAAGGAAAAUCAUCAGUUUAUUUCAGGUUCUCCAAGUUUUCCUUGGUAACAGCUCACUCACAUACUUACUCUGGGUUUCACCUUCAUUUGUUCAGGCAAAACAAUUCCAGAGGCAGAAGAGGCCGUCAAGCUGGAAGAAGCGAUCCAAACAGAAGGGCAGCUGAUCUUAGGCUCUUAUUCUGCCACGUCCUCUUAGUCUUUUCUAGAAAAGCAAGAGCUUCUGUCUCCUCUUUGAGAUAGACCAGCUCAGCUAAGCUAAAAUCAAGUCCCUAUGCAUCAAAUCUGCACGAUAAAAUGGAAAGUGGUUUUCAAGAGGAUCCAACCUAUUCUCUAACAGACCUAAGAACCAUUCCUGAAGCAUGAACACAUAAUGAGUGGCAGCCUCUGGUCAGGUCCCCACAACUGAGCCAAGGAACUGAAGACACCAUUUCCAGCUUUCCUUUCUAGAGUUUCAAGGCCUGCAAAAGUGAAUUGUUUAGUCUAUGGCGUACUGCCUGUUACUAAGUGAUUCUGGCUGUGUCAAUAAAUCUGUUCACAGCUCUAAUUGUGUUAAUAAAUUGAACUUAAUUAAGCUUACAACAUGUCAUGAGUUUCUUCUGGCAUAAUACAGUAGAUUAAAGAAGAAGGAGAAGGAGGAGGAGGAGGAGGAGAAGAAGAAGACGAAGACGAAGAAGAAGAAGGAGAAGGAGAAGGAGAAGGAGAAGAGAAGAGAAGAGAAGAGAAGAGAAGAGAAGAGAAGAGAAGAGAAGAGAAGAGAAAACUUGGAGAAAAAUGUACCACAAUACGAUCUCUGGAGAAAUGAAACUUUCUGGGAUUGGCUUUGUGAAGACUAUUCCUUUGUGACUAAAACUGGACUCUGUUAGCAAUAACUACAGUCUCCUCUGGUUAAGUUUGCUACGUCAUAAGUUCCCUUAGGGUAGAAAUAUGUGCGAUGGUAGUUAGUUUUGAUGGUCAACUUGAUGAGAUUUUGAGUAACAAUGUAAACAGAUCUCUGAGCAGGUCUGUGAGGGCAUUUCUAAAUUGAUGUAAUUAGGAUAGAAAGACUCACCCUGAAUGUGAGUGACUCCAUGGGCCAGGGUCCCAACCUGAAUGAAAAGGAGAAAGCAAGCUGAGCAAAAGCAUUUAUGUGCUCUGCCUCCUAACUGUGGGUGGGAUGUGGCGAGCUGCCUCAAACUCCUGCUGACAGAACUUACUCACCGCAAUGGGCUGAGCCCAAAUAAACCCUUUCUCCUUUAA